rnacentral:rRNA from 1 species
AACGAACGCUGGCGGCAGGCUUAACACAUGCAAGUCGAACGCAUCGCACGGACAGUGGCAGAGGGGUGAGUAAAGCGUGGGAAAAUACCCUUUUCUACGGGGUAGCACUGGGGAACAGGAAUUAAUACCGCAUACGUCCUACGGGGGGAAGAUUUAUAGGGGCUGGAUUGGCCCGCGUUUGAUUAGCUAGUUGGCGGGGUAAAGGCCUACCAAGGCGACGAUCCAUAGCUGGUCUGAGAGGAUGAUCAACCACAUUGGGACUGAGACACGGCCCAAACUCCUACGGGAGGCAGCAGUGGGGAAUAUUGGACAAUGGGCGCAAGCCUGAUCCAGCCAUGCCGCGUGAGUGAUGAAGGCCUUAGGGUUGUAAAGCUCUUUCACCGAUGAAGAUAAUGACGGUAGUCGGAGAAGAAGCCCCGGCUAACUUCGUGCCAGCAGCCGCCGUAAAAC